GGGAGUGUAGCUGAUGUGGCUUUAGCUGUAGACUGUUAAUCUAUGAAUGAAAAAUUGAAAUAAAGUAGGUUCGAAUCCUUCCUCUCCCG
rnacentral:tRNA from 1 species